GACACGUCGGCACCUCACACACUGAGAAGCCGCAGAAGGCAAGGAUGUAAGACUGUGGCGUGCCAGAGUCUUCACUUGGAGAUCAGAAUAAAAAGUAACCGAAUGUCGGGGUUCAGAGUUUGGCCCCUGUCGCCAAACUACCUAGACUCAAUUCUGGUUCUGCCAUUACCAUGAGGACUUGGCCAACCCACAUCACAGAGCUGUGCCGCAGUCUUCUCAUCAGUGAAAUGGAGUAAAGACUUCUAUGAGCUGCCCACUGAGUGCUACUUCUCCUUCAUUUGAAGUCUUCCUGAAUUUGUGACUAUCCUCGCAUGGUGGUAUAGUGGCUUUCCUCCUUACCCUGUCUCUCCUUGUGGAAGCAGGAGCUAGGACUGACCUCCGGAUCCUUUGUCUUCUCUAAAAAUGGAUCCUGCUGUCUAGUAGGUGCUCAGCAAAGGUCUCUUUCAUUUGGAUGCUCCCCUGGACCCUGGAGGGAGGGCCAGAGAAAGUCAAUGGUG